GGGGAAGUAUCCCAAUGCUAAUCUUCGGAUCAUUCUUCUUUCGUUUCUGCUGGCCCCUGGAGGGAAUUCUCUGGUUCUGAUGUAGACCAGGAUGUUAUGAUACCAAGGUUUACCGUCGAGUUCUUCCUCAAUCAUGAAGCAAUAUGCUGGCUCACUUCUUGCUUUAAUCUUCAAUAUCUGAAUCAUCUGACCCUCUUCGAUUUGAGCCAUAACAGCUAGAGUAGCUAAGGCAUCAGCAAAUUGAUUCUUGUCUCUACUAAGGUGAGUGAAAGAGACUUCUUCGAAUUUCUUGAUCAACUCCAGUAAGUACUUCUGAUAUGGGAUCAACUUGGGAUCCUUAGUUUGCCAUUCUCCCUUGACUUGAUAGAUUAUCAGAGCCGAGUCUCCGUAC
rnacentral:misc_RNA from 1 species